AGCUACAAAUUUUAUAUUAAGCUUCCCUGAAACACAUCACAAAUUAAGAGCGCUUCAAAUUCCUCCUCCACCACCUCAGUCUCCGCCUCCUCCAAUCCAUGCUUUCUGGAAGAGAAAGUCCAGUACGACUAAUCGGAAAGCGCAGCAAAAUCCUCCCAGAUCGUCAAUCCUUUCUUCUUACACCUAAUUUUCAAACCCUAAUUUCAUUUGUGAAUCCGACAAACAAAACCCUAAUUUUUUGUUUUCAUUUCCCUUUUCAUAGUUAUAGAGAUGAAAUAAUGCAUUAUCAUCUCAUCAAGUCGAUUUAUGGAGCAGAGGUUUGUGAAUCCAGUAAAUUGGAUGUUCAUGUUUCUGUUGAGAUCGGGGGAUCAGAUUCUUCGUAUGUUAUUUGUCCUGUUUGUGGAAAUGCCGUUCAAGGAUCAGAUCAAAAUAAAUUUGAAUUCUCAUUUAGAUAGGAUUGGUUUUCAUUGCUAAAUGUUAUUUUGGAGAUUACAAAGUGUUUGAUUAAAUUACAGUUUCAGUUUAGUUUCAAAAAGCUCAGUAUUCAGUUGGAUGAAUCGAAAUAAAAACUUAGGGAUAUAUACUGUAAUGUUACCAAAGGAUGAGAAAGUUGAGGGAAAUGCCAUCAUUAAAUUGCCUGUGAUUGAAGAUAAUGACGACGUUCAUUAUGUGCUGCCACUGAAAUCAUUUCCCAAGUUAGAAAAUCAUGAAGAGGUUAAGGUGGAAAAUUUGUCGGGUGAUGACAUUUUUGAGGAGAAAGAUGUGAAUGUGACUCAUCUGUACGUAAUGUUAUGUUGCCAAAGCAUGAAGUAGAUGGAUCUACUGAUUACUUCGGUGGCAAUUUUCCAGAUUUUCGUUGCAUUAGAUUUGGUGAGCAAGUUGAUUAAAGAAAGGGAGUACCGUCUCUUUUGUAAGAGACCAGUAUAAUGUUAAAGAUCCCAAUGCAGCAAAGGUGCUAUCUACUGAUUCUGGAUGCGAAAAAGUGGUUGGUCAUGUCCCCUGGGAGUUGGCUAGGUAUCUCUCCCCUAUAAUCGAGAAGGACUGCUUGAUAAUUGAGUUCAGGUUGUAUGUCAAAGAAUGACUAGAAUUGAUGUAAUAGAAUCCAACAAUCAUGGAGGCUCUGACUCUUGCCGGGAAGACGUUCUUCAUGUGGUUGAGUGCGCAAAAAACUUCAUCCCUGGCAAGAGAAAGUACCAGCAGAAUUUUCGUCUUUUGAUUCAAGAAGUUAUGAGGAGUCAUUAGCACCUUUUUAUAGGCGAAGAAAAACUUUAUGUAGGUAGAUGGUAUAGUAUGUGAUUAGGUUCAUCUAUUACCUUGUUAACCUGUGAGUUGUGUGUUUAUUCCACAGGAUCAUUUAAAUCACUCUCGGACCGUGGUCGGGAUAUCUUUGUUCGACUUUUUACUCUAAAAGGACCAUUGUUCCGGGUGGCUAAUAUUUCCUACCAAGAAGUUACAGAUCCUCAACAGGCUAUAGAGGGACUCUGUUGCAAGUCUGAGCAUGACGGCUUUAUGCAGUUUGCUUGGAACUAUAUACUUUGCAGUCUUAAUUUUUCUUCUCUUGCAGCAAGGUGUUAUGGCUGUUCGUUCGAGUCCUUGAAGGAACCAGAUGGGUACAUAUAAAGGAGGUUCUAGAUGCGCUCAUUGUUUCUGAGCUACGAGACAUUUGUAGUUUGUCACACUCCAAGGUGCAUAUAUGUAUUUAUGCUCAAAUAGUCAUGGCCAUUACAUUUUUAGGCAUCUUCAAGAUCAUACUCCCUCUAUUCCAGUUUAGUAGAUUGUUUAGGUUUAUUUUUUGGCCCAUAUGACUUCAUAGUUUUGUUAUUUUGUCACAGAACUCCCAACUUUAGCAUCAAACUAAAAUCAUACAAAAUAUUUUUAGAAAAUUGCUUGGCAUUCUUAACCUGGAUCCAUAUACCCCCUUCCCUAGCAGAGCUUUAGCAUAUGGAUCUUUGUAAUGCUUAAUAAGCAUGGAUAUCAUUUGCAUAUUUGACCGAGUUGUGAACAAUAAACGUAAUUUUUAUUUAUUUUCGUUAUCGCUUUCUUUCGUUUAGCAGUAUUGACAGUCUUGUGGUUGAGACAAGUUUCAAGGCUUUGAUCUUAUAUUUCUUUUAAUUCUAUGUGGUAUAUCCGCUAUUUGGAGCAUUACAAUUGGCUACUCCUAAAUAUGGAUUCUGCCAUAGUAAAUCUCCUAUAUUGGUGGCUUCUGAUGACUGCAAAGUAACAGAUAUUCUUUGCGGACAGAUACGGGUCAAAAAUUAGUUUAACAUUUCUUGAAACUUAAUAUAGUAUUUCUCUGUUAAGAUACAUCUGUAUAAUGUGUCUGCUUCAACGUUGUGAUGCUUGGGUUUUGACACAAUGAUGUGAUACACGAAUAUCCUUGUAAGGUGGAUAAGGAGACGUCUCUUCAUAUUUGUUUAGGUCAAAUCACACAAGAUAGAUGUAUUGUUCGCUCUAAGCGGACAUAUCCGCUAUUUGGAGCAUUACGGAUGGCUACUCCUAACUUCGGAUCCUGCCUCAGUAAAUCUCCUACAUUGCUGGCUUCUGAUGACUGCAUAGUAACAGACAUUCUUUGCGGACAGAUACGGGUCAAACAUUCCUUAGAAUUAGUCUUCCUCUGUUAAGAUACAUUUGUGCGAUACAGCUGUUUCUAUGUUAUGGUACUCUAGCUUUCAUUCUAAGCUUAGGAAAGGCGUCUGUUCUAGCAGAAAGCUGGAAUUUAUUUCAUUGUUGUUCGCUUCAUAUGAAGAUGGUAAAUGGUAUAACAUGCGAUUGAUUACACCUUCUUUUAAUCUUCCUUUUGACAUUUUUUUUGCUCUGGAUUCUGAUGACUGCAAAGUAACAGACAUUCUUUGCUG